AAAGGUACCUGGAAAGGAAGAUAUAAUGAUCACAAAAGUGGUUUUCCCAGGGUGAGCUUAUGCAUUGCAUUCCAUGUGUGUUAAGCCCCGAGAUAUGAUCUCCUGUAAUGCUAGAAUAUAGACUUCAUGAUUUGUAGUGAUGGGUAUCCAUGUUCCCACUUUGUCCUA
ensembl:snRNA U1 U1 spliceosomal RNA